UGCCCUUUUCCUCCCUCCCAUUUUUCUCGCGAUCCGCGUUCUUUUCGAUCAAUUUUCUUCUUCUUUUUUUUCUUCUUUAUUAAUUCCUUUUUCGUGAUUCUGAAGAUCGAGUGUUCCGAUUUUAGAGGGAUAUUUGUUCCGCGGAAUCGAAGUGAGGAGAUGCCUUACUGCGACUGCGAGAAUGGGGUUCGGAUUUUUUACAAGAGGUUUGGCCAUGGCAGCACCAAGGCCCUCCUAAUUAUCGGAUUGGCGGGGACGCAUGAUUCGUGGGAGCCCCAGAUUAGGGGGUUGACGGGAGCGGUGGAGGCGAACGACGACUUGCCGGCGGUGCCUUCUGACGAUCGUGGAAUGGAACCAGCCGAUGAGGAGGAGGUGCAGGAUGGGAUCGAGCUGUGCUGCUUCGAUAACCGUGGGAUGGGUCGGAGCUCUGUGCCUAGUCACAAAUCUGAAUACACAACUACCAUAAUGGCAAGAGAUGCCCUUGCUCUAUUGGAUCAUUUAAGCUGGAAAAGAGCUCAUGUGUUCGGUCAUUCAAUGGGAGGAAUGAUAGCUUGCAAAUUGGCAGCCCUAGCGCCUGGUAGAAUAAGCUCCUUGGCCUUGCUCAAUGUCACAGGAGGUGGUUUUGAGUGCUUUCCGAAGAUUGAUCGCCAAAUGAUAUCCCUUGCGUUUCGUUUCUUAAGCGCAAGAACACCAGAGCAAAGAGCUAUUGUUGACUUGGAAACUCAUUACACAACGGAAUAUCUUGACGAACAUGUUGGAUUUGCAUGCAGAAGAAGGGAUAUCCUUUACAAAGAAUAUGUAAAGAAUAUAUCGUCAAGUGGAAUGCAAUCGAACCAUGGCUUUGAAGGCCAAGUUAAUGCUUGCUGGAAUCAUAAAAUGACACCAAAAGAGCUGGAGAGAAUUAGAUCAACUGGAUUUCUGAUAUCAAUCAUCCAUGGAAGGCAUGACAUUAUUGCUCAAGUAAAUCACGCAAGGAACCUUGCCGAGAAACUUCAACCUGUUGCCAGAAUGGUGGAACUUCAUGGUGCACACCUGGUCAGCCAUGAAAGGCCAGAUGAGGUAUAGUUUGAGGCGUCACUAUCUUGUCGAAUCAUUAAUUUAGUGUUAAUAUUUGAUCAAUAAUUAUCCGAUGUCUUGAUUGAAAUUUAAAUGUCGAUUAUUUGUUAGUGGAUCAUAAUCUUUCAUGCCUGGUCAGUAACAGUAGCCAUAGGAACCGCAUCGGUUGCUGUAGUAUUAUUCCAACUACAAAAUAGAUAUUAGUGAAUGAGAAAUUCAUCACGGCUUGUGUUAAGCAAGAAGAGACAUGUAGGAUGUUGGUUGCCGAGACAUUGCUGCUGAAAGAAGACAUGUCAAAACAGUUCAAAUGAAAAAGAUGAAUAAACAAACUCUAUUCUUUAAUUCGAUAGUGAUAAUUUUUAAGACUUUUGCAUAUAUGUUUAUGUUUAAUAUCAACAGAUCCUAUCCCAUCUAAGUGUUGCUAGUUUGAUUGGAUGAAACUCUCUUUUAGACUUAACAUGAUAUCACAGUUAAUCCAACAUCUCUAGCGUUUUACUGAAGGAACAAAAGUAAUUACCUCUCUCUCUGUUUACUUAGGCAAAUAGAUUUAAGGAACGAUGCAAGCAAGGAUUCAUUGGCUACUUUUUGCCAUAGCCUUCAUUGACCAUUUUGGUUGAAAGGGGUAAAGAGUUUAUGAAGGAACUGACCUGGGUACUUAUCUGAAUACUGUCUCUUCUUCCCUUCAUCUUGAGAGAAUCUUCUACUCUUCUCUCCACAUUCCCCUUCUCUCCCUUGCAUCAUUCUAUUUGUAUCUCCUUCACAAAUAAAUAUCAAAUGCAAAGAUGACUUACUGCUUUGGGUAGGACUGAAGGCUUUCUUAAACUUCAAGAAUUAAUUCUUGAUCUCCUAUCCAUUCAAAAGGCCAAUAGGCAUAAAUUGCUAAAAGAACUCCACAAAUAGUUAGAAUUCAAUGUUUGUUAUUCUUUUAGUAAAAUAAACUGUCAUCUAAACGUAUUUUAUUAUCUAGUAAUUUAUAAAUUUCACACUAAGGUAAAUCCGACCGAUUGGGCUGUCUCAGUCCCAUCACAAGCCUAUGCACAAAAAGGUAAAAAGAUUCUCAUCUCCUCUGAGCUUGGCCGUGUUUGUCAUCACCUCCAAGCCUAGCCCACCACACUCUAGUUGGUGCCUCAAGCAUAGUACACUUGAGCCUUGUUGAGCCAUUGCCUAAUCUUCUCUAAGCCCAUUGUCGUUUUGUGCCCGUGGCACCUGCCAUCUCCUCAAGCCUGACCAUGCUUACUGUUGACUUUGGUCUAGUCCUCACCUUGAACCCCAAUUAGAUCUUGUUGGAAAACCUCUGUUUGAGCUCUUUCACUCUAAGAUCUUAUGGUCACCCAUCAACAGAUCUGGUCGUUGGUGCUACCUAGGAGGACAACAGAGUAUCAUCACCUAGGAGGGCUAUGAAACAAGGAUAAAACUAAGAUUUUAUCCCAUUCCUACUGCUGCAGUAUUGCAUCCCUUUAUUUUAGGUGGAUGCAGUUGUGUUAAAAGAAUGUUCAAAAUUCCUCUCUGCAGUAUUUCUAUUGGGGUAACCGAUGAAGAGUUCCUCGUAAUUGAAAUUCUCCUUUCCUUCCCCUGAGAUUUCUAUGGGGUAAAUAACCCGUAAAAUAACAUUAAAACCCAUGAGAAUAGAUAGUGUGCCACACACUAAAUGUUGGCUGAUGUGCCAAAGAAGAUUUACCAGGCAUUGAUAUAUAGUAAUAGAAAAAUCUAAAGACAAGGGUAAUCCAACUGUCUAGUUCACGUAGAGCUUUUUAUCACGCUCUACAUUGGAACAAAACCAAACAUAACUUGCCUUCUUUCAUCCACCCCUUUUUAUCCAAAUACUUACCAACUGUUAGUUCCUUUUCAUCGACUCUCUUUACCAUUAAAUCUGGAAAGAAGGGGGAGGGUGAGUGCAAAGGAAAACAACUACAAAACAUAGAGGAUCCACCCCCUUAAUUUCUUUUCUAGUGUUUAGAAGUCAAAUGAACUUAGAACUGCAAACUGAAAUGGAGUUUACCACUUUACCUCUCUCAAUUUUACCAGACAUUCAAUAGAUAGCUGAAGACUGUUCAAUCAGGUUAACCAAGCUCUGAGGGAAUUGGUAAUCGCAUCAAAAAGCAAGCUUAAUCCUCAAGAGUGGUCCUGGUUGCCGGAGAGUCAGACUUUUGGCGCACGAUGGUCAAUCUUGGGAACAAAAUCAUCCACAAGGAAUAAUGGAAACAGUUCGGCGAGCAAUCUGCUAACAGUUUAUAACUUUCUAGGAAAGAUACAACUCAGUUUUCUCUAUUUCCUUGGCUUCUUCAUGAUUGCAUAUGAGCACAUGAGGAGCAUUCUUAGAACCAUGAAACCGGCCAGAGUUGCAGCCUCCAAUCCAUGAGGUAAAUACAUAAACUCAUUGACCCAAACAUUUCCUUCACAGCAGAAGCUUAUGUUUCAGGGAUCAUCAUACAACAAAUAACAACACGCAAAGAAACAGUGACAGGAUACUUCAUUAAUUUGUGUUCCAAAAGUGAACUCUGUUCUUGUGCUAUAAUUUCCUGUGUUUUUUCUUCUCAUUUAUUGUACCGGUGACCAUUCUGAAUUGCAUAGCUAAUAAAUACCAUUGGCCUUA